rnacentral:rRNA from 1 species
GAAGGUCACGGCGAGACGAGCCGUUUAUCAUUAUGAUAGGUGUCAAGUGGAAGUGCAGUAAUGUAUGCAGCUGAGGCAUCCUAACAGACCUAUAGACUUGAACCUUGUUCCUACAUGACCCGAUCAAUUUGAUCAGGCACUCGCCAUCUAUUUUCAUUGUUCAACUCUUUGACAACAUGAAAAAACCAAAAGCCCUGCCCUCCCUCUCUAUCUAUCCAAGGGAUGGAAGGGCAG